rnacentral:misc_RNA from 1 species
GAUGAAGAACGUAGCGAAAUGCGAUAAGUAAUGUGAAUUGCAGAAUUCAGUGAAUCAUCGAAUCUUUGAACGCACAUUGCGCCCGCCAGUAUUCUGGCGGGCAUGCCUGUUCGAGCGUCAUUACAACCCUCAGGCCCCCGGGCCUGGCGUUGGGGAUCGGCGGAGCCCCCCGUGGCACACGCCGUCCCCCAAAUGCAGUGGCGGUCCCGCCGCAGCUUCCAUCGCGUAGUAGCUAACACCUCGCGACUGGAGAGCGGCGCGGCCACGCCGUAAAACACCCAACUCUUCUGAAGUUGACCUCGAAUCAGGUAGGAAUACCCGCUGAACUUAAGCAUAUCAAUAAGCGGAGGA